GAGGGGAGAUCUCAUUGCCAUCUACAGCUACCUGAAAGGAUGUUGUGGAGAGCUUGGUGCUGGUUGCUUCUCACAGCUUACACAACAGCCAGCUUUGCUGAUCCUUUGAGUAAACAAUGUCUGAUGGAAAGAGCAUGCAGAGGACUGAGGCACAGCACAAGAAGGUGUGUGUCUGCACACCAUCUGCUGCAUGGACCUGCUUGAUAAGUGGCACACCUGCAUUAUGGUUACAGGACACAAAAUUCUCAAAUAGGACCAUCUCUCAGAACAGCCUGUAACAGAUUACUGAGUCUACCAGUGAAGUAGGAAGAAAUGACACCGGCAGCUCUAGUCACGCUCAAGGCUGUCCUUAAGAUGAUGCACAGUAAUUGCCUUUCCUCUAUUAUGUUCCAAAGGUCCAAAAAACCCAAAAUCACAAUCAAGAAACAUUUCAAGCAACAUUAUUUAACAACUGAAGAAAUUGCAUGAGCGUAUAUCCAUUUGAAACACUCUCCACCAAGUCAUUUCAUUACUGGCAGUGACAGAACUCUCCUGAAGUCCACUGUCACUUCUCCAACUGUUAUUUUUCUAAGUUUUAAAACUGCUUUUCAUUAUCAUCUAAACAAAAAUAAACCCCUCAAGCAGCUGAUACACCUUUUCAACAAAUAGGCAGCAAUGCCCCAUUUUAUGAAAAGGAAAGUCCCUUAAGAGUGGUCCUGGUGUGUGCAAAUUAGCACAUUCCUCGCUUUUUUAUCUCUUGUGUCAAAAUAUAAGCAACAUCAUCCUUAGGUCAAAUAUUUUUUGUCCCUCUUCUUCUUAAAAAAAGUAUCUUGCAGAGCAAGACUUUAGCUUACAAGUAAAAUAAGUAACUAUUAG